rnacentral:rRNA from 1 species
AUGCAGGGUAUGGCCUUGGCCAUCCAACACUCGGUUCUUCCAGUCGUCGUCCAGUCGGAUUCUUCUGAAGCCUUGGCGAGUCUCUCAAGCAAUGCUUUAACUCGCUCGGCUUACGGUCAUUUGGUUCUAGAGAUUAAGGAGCUGAUGAGUAAUAGGGAGUUUGUACCUUUGAAAAUAUGUCGUUCUCAGAAUAGAGUUGCCGAUCGUUUGGCCAAUUAUAGCCGAUCCGAGCGGGCUACAGUGGUGUGGUUGCGUUCGGUUCCACCUUGUAUUGAGGAUUUGUGGCCUCUCGACUGUAACACUAUGACAUUUGAAUAA